GUGUUCUCUCUGAAGAUAAGGUGUUCUCGGUCAAUGAAUCUAUCUACCUCACACAUCGCCAUGUCCGAAAGAAAAUCCUGGGAAAAAAACAAAACGUCAACAUAGCAUAGACUUUCUUUUUAAAACAUUCAAUUAUAAUCUAUUGGGUACUCUCAAAUUUAAUUUUGAGGAUAUAACGCCUUUCCUCAGGUCAGAAUGUAAUUUGUUAUCUCUUUUGGCUUAUGGUUUGGGUAAGAAAACCAAGAAGUAGUCAAACUAGUGUUCAUUUUGUAGUUCAUAGUGCCUUAAAGAUAGAAUCCGCAGGUUGUGGGCGCCUCCAUGCCGCCCCACUUCUUCUGUUGUGUUUUCACUUUGAACGAAAACAAGGGGAUGGAGCCCUGAGCCGCCUCGGGCUGGCCUUCUGGGCAAGGUGUGUCUUCGCACUAAAUCCUGUCUACUCAAACAACCCUGCUGUCAUCCUCCGGAGCUGAAAGUCACUUGCAAGCUACAGUCGCCAGAAACAAAUACAGAGCAGACGAAGCAAACAAGCUAGCUAACUUGUUUGCAGAUCAACUGUUCUGGUAGCAGGGUCAGCAUUUUCAGAAAAUGUAGUCAGAAACAAGCAUCAUUCUCAGUUCUUGGAUCUGAAUCAACUCGACCCCAAAAGAGAAAAAGAAGCACGAAAAAGACUGCUCAUGACCAAUCCAGAAACCGGAUAAACAUUGGAAUUAAUUUUGGAAGGUGGAAGAGUGUUGCCGAAAUGGCCACCAUCCUCAUGAACAGGUAGGGAGAUACUGGUGGAGACAGUCUGAUUUCGAAGGGAACCUGAGGUUGUAGAAGUUGUGGUUGUGGAAAAUUCCAAAAGAUAGUAUGUGGACCAGCGCACAGGCCACCUCUUCUUUACUCUUCACGCUCAGUAGAGGCUCCAGCACCGCACAUAAAGUCCGGUAGUUAUUGGUAACAUACUCGGCAAACUCCUUGUACAGCUCCAUGGGCAGGAUGCUCAUGGUCUGGUAACGGGAUUUGAGGCGUAGGGAGGCAUUGAUGAUCUUGCCCCCUGCUUGCCCCUUGGCCAGGACGCUAGGCUGGAUGACCGGGUACCACUGCUCCACAAACUGUCGGCCUGUGAUGCUGGAGAUAGGGAUACUGACCAGUCCCAGCGUCACCUCAAAACAGUACUCCUGUCCCAGGAUGCUGGAGUGGACGGGCUUGAUGAUGGCGUCCUCAUCCAGGGUGAGGUCCAGCGCCUCGGCAGCGCUGCUGGGAGACAGCAAGGACUCAUGGGAGUGGGACUCUUUGAAGCUCUGCAUCAGGCGCGUUCUGGGUGGGGAGCAGAGACACAGUGAGAGGAGCAGAUCCUCCUGGACGUGCGGCUGGGGGCUCGAUUCCUUCCAUGUAGUGAGUUCUGGACGUACUCUGCUCGUCACUCCUCCACUGGUUUGAGCCCCUUUCAGUGUGCUCUGGGUUUUCAGCCGGACCUGGCUCCGUGGAUCACGGGCCAGACUGAAGCUCCUUGAGUGGUUCAGCUACGCAGAAGUGUGGAGCGAUGCCCACGUGAGACUCCAGCGUGCCGUCCACCGUCAAAAGGAGCAGACGACCCCCCGUUCCUCUACCAGGAACCUCCCACUCCGCCUGUCCUGCAAGAAGCUGAGCCCCUGUUUUGUUGGGCCAUUCAAGGUUCUCCGGAGGGUCAACGAGGUGUCGUAUAGGUUACAGCUUCCCAGUGACUACCGUAUCUGCAUCACCGCCUGGUAUGGAAACUGCUUGGCAUCCAACCGCAAGGAGCUACAAGGGCAGUGCGUACGGCCCAGAACAUCACUGGAGCCGAGCUCCCUGCCAUCCAGGACCUCUAUACCAGGCGGUAAAAAGUCAUAAACUAUUCUUUCUGCUUUCGCAUGGCAAGUGGUACCGAUGCGCCAAGUCUGGAACCAACAGGACCCUAAACAGCUUCCACCCCCAUGCCAUAAUACUUCUAAAUAGCUAGUCCGUGUACCUAUUGGUUAACUAUUUCACUAUCUGCAUUGACACUUUUUUUUGCAUCUCUUAUGACUCAUCACAUGUGAGCUACUGUUACUGUUUAUUAUCUAUCCUGUUACCAAGUCACUUUAUCCCUACCUUUAUCCUGUACAUAUCUACCUCCAUUACCUCAUACCCCUGCACAUCGACUCAGUACUGGUACUCCGUGUAUAUAGCCAAGUAAUCGUUACUCAUGGUGUGUCUAUUCCUAGUGUUAUUACUUUUCUUUUUUUUCCUCUGCAUUGUUGGGAAGGGCCUGUAAGUAAGCAUUUCACUGUAAGGACUACACCUGUUGUUUACGAAGCAUGUGAAAAAUACAAUUUGAUUUGAUUAGGGGGAUGAUUAAGUCAACAAGGCAACUGGCACCAU